CCUACGGGACGCAGCAGUGGGGAAUAUUGCACAAUGGGGGAAACCCUGAUGCAGCGACGCCGCGUGAGCGAAGAAGUAUUUCGGUAUGUAAAGCUCUAUCAGCAGGGAAGAAAAUGACGGUACCUGACUAAGAAGCCCCGGCUAAAUACGUGCCAGCAGCCGCGGUAAUACGUAUGGGGCAAGCGUUAUCCGGAUUUACUGGGUGUAAAGGGAGCGCAGGCGGCUUGGCAAGUCUGAUGUGAAAGCCCGGGGCCCAACCCCGGGACUGCUCUUGGAACUGCGCGGCUGGAGUGCAGGAGGGGCAG
rnacentral:rRNA from 1 species